rnacentral:rRNA from 1 species
UUCAGACGAUGCGUCAUGCAUAUCAAUAAGCGGAGGAAAAGAAACUAACAAGGAUUCCCCUAGUAACGGCGAGUGAAGCGGGAAGAGCUCAAAUUUGAAAUCUUAAAGGGUUUCCCUUUACGAAUUGUAGUUUAAAGAAGUGUUUUCUGUUGAGGUUUUGGUAAAAGUUCUUUGGAAUAGGACAUCAUAGAGGGUGAGAAUCCCGUAUUUGACCUUUACUUUCAACUUUGUGAUACACUUUCAAAGAGUCGGAUUGUUUGGGAAUGCAGUCCAAAAUGGGUGGUAAAUUUCAUCUAAAGCUAAAUAUUGGCGAGAGACCGAUAGCGAACAAGUACCGUGAGGGAAAGAUGAAAAGAACUUUGAAAAGAGAGUUAAACAGUACGUGAAAUUGUCAAAAGGGAAGCGUUUGACACCAGUGUUGUUUUUCUGAAAAUCAAUUAAAGAACUGUUUAUGCUAAGCUGUUUAGACUUUAUCAGCUAUCUGUUUAGUUUUAGGCUUUUCUUUAAUGCACUUUUCAGUUAACAGUCAACAUCAAUUUCUUUUGCUGUAAAAAAGCUUGAGGAAGGUGGCUUGAGAUUCGUCUUAAGUGUUUAUAGCCUCUUGCCUAUGCAGUCGGAGAGAUUGAGGUCUGCAGCGUAGAUCCUUCGGGGCUAAAUGCAUUUGUGCUAAGUUAUAGCAUUUUAUAGACAACUUGUUGACUAUGAUUUGUCUUGUAGCUUACUCGCUUAUGUUAUUUUACCUACGCUUAGGAUGUUGACACACGCGCGUGCUCG